GAAACUUUGCCAACACUCUGGCCUUUAUCCCUCCUCUCGUUGCGAUUGGAAACAUUCCAGGAUAUAGGCCUAUUUUGGUGCAAAGAAGAUUGAACUAUCUUCUGACACGUUACUCACCUCGGCAUCCUGUCCACGUGGGCAGUGGAUGCAGUGGUCCAUCAUUACUGUGUCUACAU
rnacentral:snoRNA from 1 species